GUAAAAUCCUAAUUUUCUGUGGUCUUGAUGAAGUGUUUUGACCUUGAUGUUAACAUAAACAUUGCUGUUUAAUCUCCACAUCAGUCCUUGUGUUCAUUCUUGGGCCCCUACAGGAUCCUCUUUUGGUCUACCUUGUGGCCUGGCUGGAACCACUUCUGGGGAUUUUCCAGGACAAAUAGUCUCCAAAUAUGGUACCUGAAGGCUGGGCAUUAGCAGAGGUUGUGUCUCAUCUGUGCUUUCUGUGGGCAGGAGGGUAGAGCUGGAGGAGUCUUGUGUCCAUAUUUUUGAUGCCUAUCCAGAAGCAACAUGAGUCAUACACUGAAAUAAACAAAAUUGACUGACAGUUUGGACCCGCUGCUGGUCGUGUAAGAACCUCUGGGCUGUAGAACCUCUGCUCCGUCCAGGACUAGCCACUUGCUUGAGAUCUUUUGGAGGCUGGGCAGCAUGCAGAGGAAAGAACUCCUUGCUGAGUAGUUUGUGCUAGUUCUUUGUCUAAUUGCAGUUCCUGGUUCAACCAAAUGUAAACAGAUGAGAAGAACCUAAGCCAGAAAGGGCAUUAGGACUGUGACUUGGGUAAUAAACUACCCCAGGGUCAUAAUGGGCUCAUUCCUGGAUAGACAUGGGAUUGAGUCUAGGGUGAGAAAAGCUGAAUGAGUGAGUGAUGAUGUGUUGUCAUUUAAAAAAUGUCUCACUGUGUUUAUGCAGACGGUAGACCAGAUGUUAGAUGCAGCCCUUGUUUGACUGUUUCUUUCAAGUUUUCAAGAGAACAAUUGUGAGCUUAUGGGGAACAGUGAAAAUUAUUUGUUUUUGGCUCUGCUGGGUUUUACUUGCUGCACAGGCUUUUCUCUCUAGUUUCAACUAGUCUCUAGUUGCAGUGAGAGAGCGUCUCACUUUGGUGGCUUCUCUUGUUGCGGCUCUCAGGCUCCAGAACGCAGGCUCAGUUGCAGUACACGAACCUAGCUGCACUGCAGUAUGUGGGGUCUUCCCGGGCCAGGGAUCAAACCCUUGUCCCCUGCACUGUUAGGUGGAUUCUUUACCAUUGAGCCACUAGGAAAGCUUCCCAGUGAAAUUGACUGAGGUUCCCGUAUGCCAGACCUGUGAGAUAAAAUUUAAAAAUAUGCAAUAAACCCCAAUAAUAGAAGAAUAAUGAAUUGAAUUACAGUUGACCCUUGAACAACAUGGGUUUGAAUUGCAUGUGUCCACUUAUACCUGGAUUUCUUUCAUUAGUAAAUACUACAGUACUACGAUCUGCCUUGGUUGAAUCUGUGGAUGUGGUAAACCAGAGCUGACUGUAGAGGUGUCCUUGGAUUUUCCUUUCCAAGGGGACAGCACCCUUAGCCCCACCCUGUUCAAGGGUUAACUAUGCUUCUGAUGUUUUUGACUGCCAAUGUUUCGUGAAAUGAACUGGUUGGUAAUUUUCUGCUGUUCUAAGUUUUACCUUUAAGGUCAGGAGAAAAGUUAUUUCCUAGGAAGCUGCUCUUUACUCUUGGCUUGCAGGGUCUUAGUUCCCUGACCAGGGAUGGAACCUGCUCCCUUGGCAGUAAAAGUGCAGAGUCCUAACUGCUGAACCACCAGAGAAGUCCCUCUUAACCACUGUUAAGUAUCCUGUGACAUUAAAAACAUUCACACUGUCCUGCAACCCUCACCACCGUUCGUCUCCAGGAGACUCUAUAUUUUGCCUCAGUAAGAAAAGCACACUAAAAACGCUGUCAUGUGGUGAGGUCAGUUCAGCUGUAACUGAGGUGUUGGCCUCAAAUGUCUGGACACACAGGGCCAUCUGCUUCCUGCUGCAGCUCCCAAGAGCGGUGGACACUGCUCUGCUGGACACCUGUGCCCUCCACAUCAGCACAGACUUGCUUGCUUCUCCACUGACCGAGAGCUCCCGAGGGUCGAGAUAGUCCUGCUCAUCGCCCUCCGCCGUCAUCCGCGUGAGGAAGGCUCCCUUGAACGUGUGCUGAACGCCUAGUGGUCCUUGUGUCAGCACGAACCCUGGUACCUUUCCAAGGCUUUCUCAAAGAAAACAGUGCUACAUCUGUUAAAUGGCUCAAGAAACCACGUGUGAUUUAGAGUCUUGAAC
ensembl:lncRNA